AUUCAGUCGACGAGUUCCAAAUAGGACGUAACGCGCGUCCCAGAU
rfam:Schistosoma curassoni strain Dakar, Senegal genome assembly, scaffold: SCTD_contig0001106